AGCUUCUUUACAGUGUUGCCUUGU
rnacentral:ncRNA from 3 species